UGGAAUGGAAUAUCUUACUUGUCUCCAUUUACUCGACUUUAAAUGGUUUAGAUGGUAUCUGUUUACUCACUAGAAUUUUAUAAUCUCACCACCCUCAAUUCCCCACAUUUUAGGCUCGGGAUAGCUGGUAGAUAGCCGAUUGCAUCAAGGACUUCAGUUAGCCUUGCAUCGACAAAAUUGUAGGUUCACAGACUCGCACCUUAUUGGUUAGUUGGGGGCCCACGUGUCACUGUAAAAGUAAUUUCAUAUUUCAGUUAUCUACUUUAAAGUACGUAUGAAUAUAUUUAGCUUUUACACUACAGAAAUUAAAUUACGG
rnacentral:lncRNA from 1 species